ensembl:misc_RNA Metazoa_SRP Metazoan signal recognition particle RNA
GCUGGGCACGGUGGCUCAUGCCUGUAAUCCCAGCACUUUGGGAGGCUGAGGUGGGUGGAUCACUUGAGGUCAGGAGUUCAAGACCAGCCUGGCCAACAUGGUGAAACCCCAUCUCUA